rnacentral:rRNA from 1 species
AUUGAACGCUGGCGGCAGGCUUAACACAUGCAAGUCGAGCGAGCGGCGGACGGGUGAGUAAUGUCUGGGAAACUGCCUGAUGGAGGGGGAUAACUACUGGAAACGGUAGCUAAUACCGCAUACCAUCAGAUGUGCCCAGAUGGGAUUAGCUAGUAGUGGGGGUAAUGGAUAACCUAGGCGACGAUCCCUAGCUGGUCUGCGAGGAUGACCAGACACACGGGAAGUGAGACACGGUCCAGACUCAUACGGGAGGCAGAAGUGGGGAAUAUUGCACAAUGGGCGCAAGCCUGAUGCAGCCCUGCCGCGUGUGUGAAGAAGGUCUUCGGGUUGUAAAGCACUUUCAGCGAGGAGGCGUUACUCGCAGAAGAAGCACCGGCUAACUCCGUGACAGCAGCCGCGGUAAUAC